rnacentral:lncRNA from 1 species
GAAAGGUGUCGGACGGCUCUUUGGGUGUUCAAGACUUCAGGCCCCCGUUUUAGGGUCAACGGAGCAAAACGUGAGGAGAGAAAAGGAGCCCUCGGGCACCGGACGCUCAGUCUGAAUCCUGAUAUUUUUUGUAACCAGGAAAGAAUACCAGGAAAAAUUACAGCAGAGGAAUCACAACAAAUAAGGCAUGAGUGAGUUGAAAAAGUGAAGUUUUGAUCGGCAGCAUUUGGAGAUGACUGGAGAAGAGAAAGAAUCAAGGACAAUUGACGCAGAAACAGAUUCUGGAAUUUAUGAUCCUUUGGCCACUUCUGAGGUGACAACUGAUGCAAACAGGACAAGAAAUGCUGAUAGAGACGCAGAAACAGAUUCUGGAAUUGAUGAUCCUUUGGCCACUUCUGAGGUGACAACUGAUGCAAACAGGACAAGAAAUGCUGAUAGAGGUAAAGGUGGGCCCCUGCCUGACAUCCUUUUUAAUCUCUGAGGGGAGAGGGGAAGUAAUUGAGGGGAGAUGGAAGUAAUGAUACAAAGUAGGUGGAGCUGGG